CAGAAGUUGCAUUGUUCUCUCUGGGCAUUCAGCGUAACUCACUCACUUGAAACUGCUUUCGUGGACAAAACGUGUUUCUAGGUCUAAGGUUAUCAGCUUUCAGAGUGAAAACACAUAAUCCCUGUUAGAGUGGAAGACUUAAAAUCGAGUUUGAGACACACCUUCUGAAACUGCAGCCUCUUGGGAGCCUGAUUACCAGUGAAGAGUGUUGCUGCUUUGCAUUUUUCACACUUGAACACAGUGAAGAAGAUGAACAUUAAUUAGGAUUAUAAUGCCAUGAAGGCUUACUGUGCUGUGAGAACUCACAAGAAGGAAAAUGCCAUUUCUUUUUUU